rnacentral:rRNA from 1 species
CAGCCGCCGCGGUAAUACGGAGGGUGCAAGCGUUAUCCGGAUUUAUUGGGUUUAAAGGGUCCGUAGGCGGAUCUGUAAGUCAGUGGUGAAAUCUCACAGCUUAACUGUGAAACUGCCAUUGAUACUGCAGGUCUUGAGUAAAUUUGAAGUGGCUGGAAUAAGUAGUGUAGCGGUGAAAUGCAUAGAUAUUACUUAGAACACCAAUUGCGAAGGCAGGUUACCAAGAUAUAACUGACGCUGAGGGACGAAAGCGUGGGUAGCGAACAGGAUUAGAUACCCGGGUAGUCCCUGUCUCUUAUAC